GAAAAUUUAAGCCGUUUUGAGGUGGUUGCUUAAUUCCCUUCAGACAAGAGUCACGCCAUCGACAUCUGUGCCAGCUUUUUCCCAGAGCCCAGGACUCCCCCGUCUCCUUUCCUGCCAUCUAACUCUUGUGCUUUAUGCUGGCAGACAACAAAUGGGAAAAGAAUUGAGCGCAUCGCCAGAGAGGGAUAGAAGUCAGGAGCUGAAUUUUCCUGGGACCUCUGAACCCCAGUGCUCCCCCUUGGAUGACUUGCAAAAAAAAACAACACAAAACAUUUCCAAGGGCCCCCCCGAGCUCAGCUUAGCCAAUCUGUGAAAUGGAACGAAUCUGUCGGACAGAGCCAAGCCCUCCUUUGAAAACCCAAGCGAUGAAUUUGGCCCGCGGCAACUUCGUCCAGUGAACCUUAUUUUUCCCUGCCAAAUUGGUGCUGUGCUGACACAGAGAACUGCUGUGCA